CAAUAGCGUAUAUUUAAGUUGCUGCAGUUAAAAAGCUCGUAGUUGGAUUUCGGGUGGGAAUGGCCGGUCCGCCGUUUCGGUGUGCACUUGCUACGCCCACCUUGCUGCCGGGGACGUGCUCUUGAGUUCACGCUCGGGACACGGAGUCGGCGAGGUUACUUUGAGUAAAUUAGAGUGUUCAAAGCAGGCCUACGCUCUGAAUACAUUAGCAUGGAAUAACACGAUAGGACUCUGGCCUAUCUUGUUGGUCUGUAGGACCGGAGUAAUGAUUAAGAGGGACAGUCGGGGGCACUCGUAUUUCAUUGUCAGAGGCGAAAUUCUUGGAUUUAUGAAAGACGAACUACUGCGAAAGCAUUUGCCAAGGAUGUUUUCAUUAA
rnacentral:rRNA from 1 species